AUAGGACAAUGGAAUUUUACAAGGAGGGGUGAAAUCCGUAGAACUGUAAAGGAACGCCAAAAGCGAAGGCAAUUGUCUGGGCCGUUACUGACGCUGAGGAACGAAAGCGUGGGUAUCCAACAGGAUUAGAUACCCUGGUAGUCCACGCCGUAAAUUAUGAGUGCUCAUGCUUAGAUUUUUUAGGCAUUUAGUUAACACGUUAAGCACUCCGCCUGAAGAGUAUAAUCGCAAGAUUGAAACUCAAAGGAAUUGACGGGGGCCAACACAAGUGGUGGAGCAUGUUGUUUAAUGCGAAAAUACGCGCGAAACCUUACCAGUUCUUGACAGUGUGUUAAGUGACGAAAAAAUAGCUUUUUUUGUCCUCUUUAUAGUAAGAAUUUUCACACACAGGUGUUGCAUGGCUGUCGUCAGCUCGUGUUGUGAAAUGUUAGAUUAAUUUCUUAAACGAGCGCAACCCCUACUUUUAGUUGCCAUUGUUUGUCAUUUCAAACAGGAACUCUAAAAGGACUGCUAGUGGAUAAGCUAGAGGAAGGUGGGGAUAACGUCAAGUCCUCAUGGCCCUUAUGAACUGGGCUACAAACGUGCUACAAUGAAAACUACAAAAAGAAGCAAUAGUGUUUAAGCUGGAGCAAAUCUCUAAAAGUUUUCUUAGUUCGGAUUGUGGGCUGAAACUCGCCCACAUGAAGUUGGAAUCACUAGUAAUCGUAGAUCAGCACGCUACGGUGAAUAUGUACCUUGGCCUUGUACACACCGCCCGUCACAUGUUGGGAGU
rnacentral:rRNA from 1 species